rnacentral:misc_RNA from 1 species
UUUUGUUGCAGUGUUUAGUGAAAAAUAUGGGAAUAUUUCAAAGAAUGUUAACAUCUUCUAAGAUAAAAUAUUUGUUUGUUGUUAGAUUAUAGCAUUUAUAACCUUUUUAAAAACGAGAGUAUCCUAGAAAGACAUAUUUAACAGAUUUAGGCCAGAGUUUGUCUUUUCCAGAAAUGUAAUCAUGAACGAAAUAGGUAUAGCCAAAUACACACAAUGAUAGAGGUUGGGGAUCUUGAUAUGGAA